GACGAACGCUGGCGGCGUGCCUAAUACAUGCAAGUCGAGCGGACUUUCCGGAGUGUUUGCACUCCGACAGGUUAGCGGCGGACGGGAGUGUAACACGGAGGCAAUCUCUCUAUAACUCGGGGAUAUCAUUCGGAAACGAAUGCUAAUACCGUAUAAACUGACCCCUCGUGUUAGGGUAUCGGGAAAGGCGGAUCAUUCUGCCGCUAAUGGAUGGGCCUGCGCCGCAUUAGCUGGUUGGUGGGGUAACGGCCUACCAAGGCGACGAUGCGUAGCCGACCUGAGAGGGUGAUCGGCCACACUGGGACUGAGACACGGCCCAGACUCCUACGGGAGGCAGCAGUAGGGAAUCUUCCGCAAUGGGCGAAAGUCUGACGGAGCAACGCCGCGUGAGUGAGGAAGGCCUUCGGGUCGUAAAGCUCUGUUGUCAGGGAAGAACGGAUAGGGGAGUAACUGCCCUUGCCAUGACGGUACCUAAGCAGAAAGCCACGGCUAACUACGUG
rnacentral:rRNA from 1 species